rnacentral:rRNA from 1 species
CCUACGGGGGGCAGCAGUCGAGAAUCAUUCACAAUGGGGGAAACCCUGAUGGUGCGACGCCGCGUGGGGGAAUGAAGGUCUUCGGAUUGUAAACCCCUGUCAUGUGGGAGCAAAUUAAAAAGAUAGUACCACAAGAGGAAGAGACGGCUAACUCUGUGCCAGCAGCCGCGGUAAUACAGAGGUCUCAAGCGUUGUUCGGAAUCACUGGGCGUAAGGCGUGCGUAGGCUGUUUCGUAAGUCGUGUGUGAAAGGCGCGGGCUCAACCCGCGGACGGCACAUGAUACUGCGAGACUAGAGUAAUGGAGGGGGAACCGGAAGUCUCGGUGUAGCAGUGAAAUGCGUAGAUAUCGAGAGGAACACUCGUGGCGAAGGCGGGUUCCUGGACAUUAACUGACGCUGAGGCACGAAGGCCAGGGGAGCGAAAGGGAUUAGAUACCCCAGUAGUC